rnacentral:rRNA from 1 species
AUUGAACGCUGGCGGCAGGCCUAACACAUGCAAGUCGAGCGAGCGGCGGACGGGUGAGUAAUGUCUGGGAAACUGCCCGAUGGAGGGGGAUAACUACUGGAAACGGUAGCUAAUACCGCAUACUCUCAGAUGUGCCCAGAUGGGAUUAGCUAGUAGGUGGGGUAACGGCUCACCUAGGCGACGAUCCCUAGCUGGUCUGAGAGGAUGACAAGCCACAUGGGAACGGAGACACGGCCAAGACCCCGACGGGAGGCAGCAGUGGGGAAUAUUGGACAAUGGGGGAAAGCCGGAUGAAGCAAUGCCGCGGGGAGGAAGAAGUUUUUAGGGUUGUAAAGUAUUUUUAGUGGGGAGGCGGUAUCUAACCAAGAAGCACCGGCUAACUACGUGCCAGCCGCCGCGGUAAUAC